rnacentral:misc_RNA from 1 species
AUAAACUCAGGAAGCGAUACUAUGGGCCUUAUCAGGUUAUAGACAAAGUUGCACCUGUGGCUCAUAAACUCCAAGUACCUUCUAAGGCUAGAAUUCAUUAUGUAUUUCAUGUUUCCUUUCUCAAGCUUGCUCAUAUUGUUGUGGUAGCUUCUUCAUAUUUGCCUCAGCUGCCUCAACAACCAUUUCCUUAUCUACAAGCUGCAGAUGCUACUUGGGAGUUUGCUGAAGACAUUCAGUUGAGGUUUCCUUCUUUUGUUCCUUGAGGAUAAGGAAGCUUUCGAAGGGU